GGAAGCUUAGAUUAUGAUUUUGACUCCAUUCUUAGCCGACCGAUAUUUUUUAUUUUCAGUAUUUUUGAGUAAAAGCCCUUGCUCUAUAAAUUUAUCCUAGAGGAGUUUGUGAUUUACCUUCCUCUCCUCCAACUUCAAAUUCUCCACUUCUGACAAGGUCUCUCGAGUUUCAACAGAUAGUUCUGAAGACGUCUGAACCCCUUUAGAAGCAGAGCACCCAUCUCCC
rnacentral:lncRNA from 1 species